rnacentral:piRNA from 1 species
UACACAUUGUAUCAAACUAUGAGGAAGAU